rnacentral:rRNA from 1 species
AUUGAACGCUGGCGGCAGGCUUAACACAUGCAAGUCGAGCGGGGUGAUGGUGCUUGCACUAUCACUUAGCGGCGGACGGGUGAGUAAUGCUUAGGAAUCUGCCUAUUAGUGGGGGACAACAUUCCGAAAGGAAUGCUAAUACCGCAUACGUCCUACGGGAGAAAGCAGGGGAUCUUCGGACCUUGCGCUAAUAGAUGAGCCUAAGUCGGAUUAGCUAGUUGGUGGGGUAAAGGCCUACCAAGGCGACGAUCUGUAGCGGGUCUGAGAGGAUGAUCCGCCACACUGGGACUGAGACACGGCCCAGACUCCUACGGGAGGCAGCAGUGGGGAAUAUUGGACAAUGGGGGGAACCCUGAUCCAGCCAUGCCGCGUGUGUGAAGAAGGCCUUAUGGUUGUAAAGCACUUUAAGCGAGGAGGAGGCUACUGAGACUAAUACUCUUGGAUAGUGGACGUUACUCGCAGAAUAAGCACCGGCUAACUCUGUGCCAGCCGCCGCCGUAAGAC